rnacentral:rRNA from 1 species
GACGAACGCUGGCGGCGUGCCUAAUACAUGCAAGUCGAGCGAACAGAUCAGGAGCUUGCGCCUCUGUCGUUAGCGGCGGACGGGUGAGUAACACGUGGAUAACCUACCUAUAUGACUGGGAUCACUUCGAGAAACCGGAGCAAAUACCGGAUAAUAUCUUGAACCGCAUGGUUCGAUAGUGAAAGUCGGUUUUGGUGUCAGUUAUAGAUGCAUCCGCGCCGCUUUAUCUGGUUGUUAAGGUAAAGGCUUACUAAGGCAACGAUGCGUAGCCGACCGGAGAGGGGGGUAGGCGACACUGGAACUGAGACGCGGUCAAGACGCCUACGGGAGGGAGCAGAAGGGAAUGUGAGGCAAUAGUCGAGAGUCUUGCGGAGCGGGGCCACGUCUGAGGUGAAGGCGUUGGGUUCGUAAAGCUCUGUUAUUGGGUGUGAACAAAUGUGUACGUAGCUGUACACGUAUUGACGGUACCUAAUCAGAAAGCCCCGGCUAACUACGUG